rnacentral:rRNA from 1 species
GUGAGGAAUUUUCCGCAAUGGGCGAAAGCCUGACGGAGCAAUGCCGCGUGAAGGAUGAAGGCCUAUGGGUUGUAAACUUCUUUUCUCAGAAAAGAAUUAUGACGGUAUCUGAGGAAUAAGCAUCGGCUAACUCUGUGCCAGCAGCCGCGGUAAGACAGAGGAUGCAAGCGUUAUCCGGAAUGAUUGGGCGUAAAGCGUCUGUAGGUUGUUUAAAAAGUAUUCUGUCAAAGAUUAGGGCUUAACCCUAGAUAGGCAGAAUAAACUUUUAAGCUAGAGUUUGGUAGAGGCAGAGGGAAUUCCCGGUGGAGCGGUGAAAUGCGUAGAUAUCGGGAGGAACACCAAAGGCGAAGGCACUCUGCUGGGCCAAUACUAAUACUGAGAGACGAAAGCGAGGGGAGCAAAUGGGAUUAGAAACCCCAGUAGUCC